UGUACCAGGAAGCAAGCCAGGGAAAAGACUGAAUCUUGAGCCCCUCCCCUAUGCCACUUCCUGUUCCUUUUCAACUGUCUGGGAAAUGGUCUUCUCACAGAUGAUGACUCAGAUUCAACAUUAAAAAAUGAUUUAAAGAAAAGCAAUGGAUCCAACAACACACCUGUACCAUGUGUCCAGAAGACUCCAGAGGUGGGAGUUUGCAGGGUUAAAUGAAGAGGAAAAAAAAUCUGGGUCUCCUCACUAGAUGCCCGUUCCCCUGGCUGAGGCCUAGAAUACGCCAUAGCAGCUAAUGGAUGAGUUAAUUGAGGAAGAAGUCAUUUUGAGAGGAGCACGACAGGAUGUGAAUUGUAUUGUAUUAAUUCCCUCUCAUGGUGUGGGCAGAGUGCUAGCGAUACAAUUAAGAGUAAAUUAAUAAAACAUCCUUAAUGCCGA